CUGCGCCCGCCGCGCCUCGGGUCCGUGCGGGCGAGGGGGGCGUGGCGACAGAAGAGGAGGAAGGAGGGGCGCGGUUUCGAGCCCGUCCCCGGCGCCUGGACGGAGACCCCUCAGUACUGCGCUGCUCCCGUUCCCCUCCGCAGAGCAAGAUCCAGGAUGAGAAGACUGAUAAAAGAAGCUAGCUGAACAGCUAUAAAAUGCCCAAAUCUGGGUUCACAAAACCAGUUCAGAGUGAAAAUUCUGACAGUGACAGCAAUAUGGUAGAGAAGCCAUAUGGAAGAAAGAGUAAAGACAAGAUUGCAUCUUAUAACAAAACUCCAAAAAUUGACCGAAAUGAUGUGAGCAAGGAGAUGAAAGAGAAAUCAUCCAUGAAACGUAAACUUCCUUUUACUAUUAGCCCAUCAAGAAAUGAAGAACGAGAUUCAGACACAGAUUCAGACCCAGGACAUACAAGUGAAAAUUGGGGGGAGAGACUUUUAUCUUCUUACAGGACAUACUCAGAGAAAGAAGGUCCUGAGAAGAAGAAAACAAAAAAGGAAGCUGGAAAUAAGAAAUCCACUCCAGUUAGCAUUCUCUUUGGUUAUCCACUCUCUGAGCGGAAGCAGAUGGCACUUCUUAUGCAGAUGACAGCAAGAGACAACAGUCCAGAUUCCACACCAAAUCAUCCAUCACAAACACCAGCCCAGAAGAAAACUCCCAGUUCUUCAUCUCGGCAGAAAGAUAAAGUUAAUAAAAGAAAUGAACGUGGUGAAACUCCGUUACACAUGGCAGCUAUUCGAGGAGAUGUGAAGCAAGUCAAAGAAUUAAUAAGUUUAGGGGCAAAUGUGAAUGUGAAAGAUUUUGCAGGUUGGACUCCACUGCAUGAAGCAUGCAAUGUUGGAUAUUACGAUGUUGCUAAGAUCCUUAUUGCAGCUGGAGCAGAUGUCAACACACAAGGAUUAGAUGAUGACACUCCACUCCAUGAUUCUGCUAGUAGUGGGCACAGAGAUAUAGUGAAACUAUUACUUCGUCAUGGUGGAAACCCAUUUCAAGCUAAUAAGCAUGGAGAGCGCCCAGUGGAUGUAGCAGAAACAGAAGAGUUGGAAUUACUACUAAAAAGAGAGGUGCCUUUGUCAGAUGACGAUGAAAGCUAUACAGAUUUAUUUUAUUUAUUUGAAAGAGUAAGAGAGGUGGAGACAGAGAAAGAGGUCUUCCAUCUGCUGGUUCACUCCCCAAAUGGCUGCAACAGCAGGAGCUGCGCUGAUCUGAAGCCGGGAGCUUCUUCUGGGUCUCCCACAAUAUUUAUUUUCCACAUGGUGAAUGUACCUGAGUUAUUGCUUGAUCAAACUCCCUCAAGGAAUGAUGCAAAAAUCAUCAAUUCUGAAGAGGCUCAUUCUGUAAACCCUUCUAGUGUUGAUGAAAAUAUUGACUCCGAAACAGAAAAAGACUCUCUCAUUUGUGAAAGUAAACAGAUACUUCCCAGUAAAGCACCUCUCCCAUCUGCCCUCGAUGAGUAUGAAUUCAAAGACGAUGAUGAUGACGAAAUAAAUAAAAUGAUUGAUGAUAGGCAUAUUCUUCGAAAAGAACAACGGAAAGAGAAUGAAUCUGAAGCAGAAAAGAAUAGUCUAUUUGCAAAACAGGAGAAAACCUUCUACCCUAAAUCAUUUAAAAGUAAAAAGCAAAAGCCAUCUAGGGUUUUGUAUUCAAGUACUGAAAGUUCUGAUGAAGAAAUUCUUCAGAACAAAAAAGUUUCUACUCCAUGUUGUAUCCCUGAAACAUCAAGUUCUGAUAUACAGACCAAAAAGGAAUAUGUACUUUCAAGUGAACACAAGCAGAAAGGCAAAGUUAAAAGAAAGUUAAAAAACCAGAACAAAAAUAAAGAGAACCAAGAGCUGAAGCAAGAUAAAGAAGGGAAAGAAAAUACCAGGGUAACGAACUUGACAGUUAAUGCUGCACUAGACUGUUCAGAAAAGGCCAGAGAGGAAGGGAGUUUUAGGAAAUCUUUUAGCCCAAAAGAUGAAACUUCAUUACAUUUAUUUCAUAUUUCCACUGGUAAAUCUCCCAAGCAUUCUUGUGGAUUAAGUGAAAAACAGUCAAUACCACUAAAGCAAGAACAUAUUAAAACGUGUUUAUCACCAGGAAGCUCUGAAACAUCAUUACAGCCUGAUCUCGUUCGAUAUGAUAACACAGAGCCUGAACUCUUGCCAGAAAGUUCAAGUGUAAAAUCUUGUAAGCAUAAGGAAAAAAAUAAACAUCAGAAGGAUUUCCACAUAGACCUUGGUGAAAAAUCAAAUGCCAAAAUAAAGGAUGAAGAUCAUAGUCCAACAUUUGAAAAUUCAGAUUGCACACUGAAAAAAAUGGACAAGGAGGGUAAAACUUUAAAAAAGCAUAAAUUGAAACAUAAAGAGAGAGAAAAAGAAAAGCACAAAAAAGAAACUGAAGGUGAAAAAGAAAAAUACAAAAACAAAGAUGGUGCCAGAGAACCACAGAGAAGCGUGGAAUUUGAUAGAGAAUUUUGGAAAGAGAAUUUUUUUAAAAGUGAUGAAACAGAAGAUCUGUUUUUAAAUAUGGAACAUGAGUCCUUACUGUUGGAAAAGAAAUCAAAAUCAGAAAAAAACUUAAAAGAUGAUAAAUCAAGCAAGGAAAAGCAUGUCUCAAAAGAGAGAAACUUUAAAGAAGAAAGGGAAAAAGUUAAAAAGGAAAUUGAGAAAUCUUUUAGGGAAGAGAAAGUAAAAGACCUAAAAGAAGAAAGAGAGAAUGUACCCGCAGAUAAAGAAACAGAAUUCAGUUCCUUAGGUAUCAAUACCAGUGAGGAAUCUGUAGGGCUACAUCCAGCAGAAAAGGAAAUGGACAUUGAAAAACAAGAAAAACAUAUCAAAGAAAGUAAGGAAAAGUCUGAGAGACGAUUUCAAACUAAAGAAAAGGAUGCUGAGAAAACUGAAAGAAAAAAUUCUGAAAAAGAGAAGAAGAUAAAGCAUGAGCAUAAGUCAGAAAAAGACAAAUCAGAUCUUUGCGAAAGUGUUGACAGAGUAAAAGAAAAGGACAAGCUGUAUUCACAUCACGCAGAAAAAUGCCAUAAAGAAGGUGAGAAGACCAAGAGUAUUACUCUUAAAAAAAGCGAUGAUAGAGAGAAAAGUAGGGAAAAGAUGGAUAGAAAACAUGACAGAGAAAAAUCUGAAAAAGAGAAGCAUCUAGCAGAAAACAAAGAAAAGCACUUGAUGGAGAAAAAAAAACAAUCAGAUAAUUGUGAGUAUACUAAAUCAGAAAAAGGCAAAAGCAAAGAUAAAGACAGGGAGGCAGAUAAAAAGGAAAAAUCUAGAGACAAAGAAAGUGUAAAUAUAUCUAACUCUAAACACUUACAGGAAGAGAAGAAGUCAAGUAUAGUAGACAGUAGUAAAGCACAACAUGACAAAACCUUAUCCCUUAAAGAGAAAACAAAAGAUGAGCCUUUGAAAACUCCAGAUGGAAAAGAAAAGGAUAAAAAAGAUAAAGAUAUAGAUAGAUACAAAGAACGAGACAAACAUAAAAUCCAGCUAAAUAGUUUAUUCAAACUAAAACCUGAAGUAGAUAAGUCUAAACCUAAGUCAUCACCAGCAUCAAAAGAUACUCGACCUAAGGAAAAGAGGUUAGUGAAUGAUGAUUUAAUGCAGACAAGUUUUGAGCGAAUGCUAAGCCUGAAAGACCUAGAGAUAGAACAGUGGCAUAAAAAACAUAAGGAAAAAAUAAAGCAAAAAGAAAAGGAACGAUUGAGAAAUCGUAACUGUUUAGAACUUAAAGUAAAAGAUAAAGAAAAAGCAAAACAUGCACUAGCUGAAUCCAAAAAUAAAGAACUUACCAGAUCAAAGAGUUCAGAGAUUACUGAUGCUUAUAUCAAGGAGAAACAAUCUAAAGAUACUGUAAGUAGCAGGUCACAAUCUGUUGACACCAAAACUACAGUGAAUUUAGGGAAGUCAUCCUUCGUUUCAGAUAGUAGCUUAAACAGGUCGCCUAGAUCAGAAAGUGAAAAGCCAGGUCUCAGCUCUAGAUCUGUAUCUCUGAUCUCUGUUGCUAGUUCAGAAGAUUCCUGCCAUACUACAGUGACAACCCCAAGGCCUCUAGUUGAGUAUGACUCUGACUUCAUGUUAGAAGGGUCAGAGUCCCAAAUGUCCUUUUCCCAAUCACCUUUUUUGCCAGUUGCCAAAUCUCCUGCCCUUCAUGAAAGGGAAUUGGACAGCCUGGCUGAAUUGCCAGAGAGGAUUAAAACUCCAUAUGCAAGUAGACUAGCAACAUCCCAUCUCAGGUCAUCUUCUGUAGAAGACAUUAAACUAAUUAUAAGUGAGGGGAGACCUGUAGAAGUUCGAAGAUGCAGCAUGCCAUCUGUCAUUUGUGAACACGCAAAACAAUUCCAAAAUGUAUCAGAAGAAAGCAAUCAAGGUAGUUUAUUAGCUGUGCCAAGAGAUAUUUGUCCUUCUCCCAAACUGGAGGUGUCUUCAAACGUGCCUGAAAAAGACCUUUCACAUAUGUCCCAUGUACAUUCCAGUUUUGCAGCCUCACCAACCAGAUCUGUAAACAGCAAAUAUAUUUCAGCUGAUACCAAUGUUAUCAAGAGUACUGCUUCAGUGGGCACUUUAAUGGACAGUCCUGUGCAUUCAGAGCCAUCUAAUCAGGUUGGUGUGAUCCAGAAUAAAUCUUGGGAGAUUCCUGGUGAUAGACUGGAAUCGUUAAGCACCAGUGAUGUUAUCUGCCCAAAUUCUAGUAUGCCUGAUCAAGAUUCCUCUGUGCAGGGUUUUUGUAACUCUGAAAACAAAAUACUCAAAGAACAGAAUGCUGAUUUUUUAUCCCUGCACCAGACUGAACUGCCAGGAAAUUCAUGUGCUCAGGAUCCAGCAUUUCUGCCUUCACAGCAACCUUGCUCUUUGGCCAGCCAACCACUUUCAGAUGCUGAAUCGAUUUCUAGACAUAUGUCUUUGUCAUACGUUGCCAGUCAAGAACCAGGUAUUUUACAACAGAAAAAUGUUGUUCAAGUUAUAAGUUCUGUUUUAGAAACUGAUAACGAAUCUUUAAAAGAUGUAGAGAAUAAUUUUGUUCUAGAUGUUCAGAAGACAGAUACCUUUAUCCCAGUAUACUCUGAAAGCACCGUUCAGGAAGCAGCACCAAACUUUGAAAAGGCUAAUACUUUACCCGUAGUGCCAUCAGAAAAGGAUUUAAAUGGAAGUGAUGCUGUCUCCCAGUUAAAUACACAUUAUGCAUUUAGCAAACUAAUUUACAAGUCUUCCAGUGGCCAUGAAGGUGAGAAUAUUACAACUGAUGUUCAGAUUAUUUCACACGAAAGAGAAAACAAACUGGAGAGUUUGGUUUUAACAGACUUGAAUAAGUGUGAUUCUGAGUUAUGUGAAUUGAAUGAAGGGAUGCCAAAAGGAAACCUCAGUGAACAAGAUCAUCCAAAACAUUGUCCUGAAGGUGAAAAGUGUUUGCUUCCCAUUGAUGAUGAGGAAUCUCAGCAAAGCACUUUAUCAACUAUGGAGAACCACUUACAACAGUCAGCUCAACCAGAAAUGCAUAAGUAUGGCCAAUUGGUUAAAGUAGAAUUAGAAGAAAAUGCUGAUGAUGACAAAGCUGAAAAUCAAAUCCCUCAAAGAAUGACUAGAAACAAGGCAAAUACAAUAGCAACUCAAAGCAAACAGAUUCUUACUAGCUGUACAGUGUUGUCAGAAAAAGACAGUGAAUCCUCAUCUCUUAGAGGAAGAAUAAGAUUAACUGAAGAAGAUGAUCCUCAAAUUCAUCAUCCACGGAAAAGGAAAGUGUCACGUGUACCUCAGCCUGUGCAAGUGAGUCCCUCUUUACUACAAGCAAAAGAGAAAACUCAGCAGUCUCUAGCAGCCAUUGUAGAUUCUCUGAAACUCGAUGAGAUUCAGCCAUAUAGUUCAGAGAGAGCAAAUCCAUAUUUCGAAUAUUUGCAUAUAAGGAAAAAAAUUGAAGAAAAGCGCAAGUUGCUAUGUAGUGUUAUUCCUCAAGCACCUCAGUAUUAUGAUGAAUAUGUAACAUUUAAUGGAUCAUAUCUCCUGGAUGGAAACCCCUUAAGCAAGAUUUGUAUUCCUACAAUUACACCACCACCUUCAUUGUCAGAUCCACUUAAAGAACUGUUUCGGCAACAGGAAGUUGUAAGAAUGAAACUACGUUUGCAACACAGCAUUGAAAGGGAAAAACUCAUUGUGUCCAAUGAACAGGAAGUUCUACGGGUUCAUUACAGAGCUGCAAGAACACUGGCAAAUCAAACACUGCCCUUUAGUGCUUGUACUGUCUUACUGGAUGCGGAAGUGUACAAUGUACCAUUGGAUUCUCAGUCUGAUGACAGUAAAACUUCUGUAAGGGAUCGCUUUAAUGCAAGACAGUUCAUGUCUUGGUUACAAGAUGUGGAUGAUAAAUUUGACAAAUUAAAGACCUGUCUUUUAAUGAGGCAACAACACGAAGCUGCAGCUUUAAAUGCUGUCCAGAGAUUGGAAUGGCAGCUCAAACUCCAGGAGCUUGAUCCUGCCACCUAUAAAUCUAUCAGCAUCUACGAAAUCCAGGAGUUCUAUGUUCCCCUCGUUGAUGUUAAUGAUGACUUUGAAUUGACUCCAAUAUAGCGGUGGUUGUUUCCUGCUGGCGUUGUCCUGACCGGAUGUGCUCCAAGUGCUACACUGUGGAAUACUGCCUUUUGACGCAAAUACUGGUGUUACGCCUUUGAAUUGGUUCAGUUGAAGUUGGUUGUGUAGUCAACCCACUGUCACUUGAUGAGAAAUAAGGCUUAUUUUGGAUCUGAGGUCCAAACACAGUUUCUAGCGGGAAACUGUUCCUUAUGUUGGUGAAAGGUAACAGUUGCAUUAGAGCAUGUUGGCAGACUGUGGCAGGCAUUGAAAACGCGAAGAAUCUGCUAACAGCGCUGGAAGUUGUUAGCUCUCUCAUGUGAUGAGAUGACCACUGGUGUUCAGCUCUCUUUCAGGUCUUAUUGAGAAGAUAUCCGUAAACUACAAGGCUUAAUUUCUACCAAAUAGUUUCUAAUGUGGAAGAAAAACUUGGCACAAAAUUUCUUGAGUUUAAUACAUCUGUAAAUUAAUUGUACAUUUUCUUUUUGAAAGUUUUACUAUUGUCUUCCUUUUUAAUAACUUAUUUUAUACAUAUUGUGCAGAUGUAAAUCUUGUAAUUAAAGGUCACAGUGUAUCCAAAGGGAUUGGUAGUGAGAGCGUGUACAGAGAAAUAACUGUAAACUGUGUCGUCCUCUGUUUUAUUGGACCAAAGUCGUGGUUUGUGUGGAGCGCAGUAGUAGUGUGUUCAGGUAGCAGAGCUUCAGAAAGCAUGCAUGUGUUUGAGUUAGCUUGUUUUCCUCACCAUAGCUGUAAGAGUCGUGACUUGGUUGUACCGCAUGCUUCGGUAAUUUAACUCUCUCCAUAACUGAUGCCUGGAGCAGUGUAAGGCGUUUCAUGCUCGUCUCCUGUGGUAGAGCUUGUGACUUACUGUGUUGGACCUAUUAUUUAGAAUUAGUCAGACAGAGAAACUUAGCUCUUUUCUCAUCUCACAGUAGAGCCUGUUUUCCCCCAGGGGAAAAAAAAUGCCUUUGAAUGAAAAUUCUAAAAUUGUAAAUGUCUAUUUUAAUACUCAGCAAUGAAUGAAUCUGUGAAUAUAUGUAAAUAUGUUUAAUAAAUUUUAUUGGUCAUGUUAUAUCAUUGUAAAACUUUUUUACAUUGCUUAAAUUUAAAGUUUUAAGCUUAAUAACCUUUGCACUUUUAAAAUAAAAACUGAGUACUAGGAUCAAAAAAGAUACUUGAUGUCAAAAUAAGUAAAAGAAAUUAAGACUAUUCCAAUUGAUCUCUGAAAUGUUUAUGGAAAAUUAAUUAACAUGUAUUUUUCCUUGUAUCAAGAUGCAAAGCAUAUAAUUUGCAAAAUUUUAUACUUGCAAUAAGACUUGGUAUGCUAUUUUAUAAUAAAAUAAUCAGCAAUAUACUUAGAAAAAGUCCGGUUUCUCCUGUAACAUGAUGUAGAUGAAAUAUUCAGGACUAUUUCAGAUCUGCCACCUGCUGCAGGACUUGUUCAGCAUCUUUGAACGGAAAAUGAAGUUAAUGUAAAAUUCAUCAUAAGUAUAUGAGAUAAAAUUUAAGAAACUUUCCACAAACCUUUCUUGAAUUCUGCUUUUAUUCUGAUAGAGAAAAGUGAAGAGAAGAUAUAAGGGGUGACGUGACUGAAAUUCACUAGCAAAUUGGCUGUCCCAGAUCAUGGGAGAGAAUCUUGAAGUUUUUGAGUGCAAAGGUACAUAUUAAGCUUAGGGAUAUUGGAAUUUUUACAUUAAUUUAUAUUUUAAUUCUUUUUAUUUUAAUUCUUACUGUACUUGGCAUGCGCAAUAAAGCAGCACGUGUAAAAACUACACAGUGCAAGGACUUUAUCAUAAAGGUUGCUGUAGUUUCCUUUAGAGUUUAGGUGAGAGAUUUUUGGCCCUUUUUGUUGGAUAAAUGGGCCAGAAAGGCAGGGUAGAUUUUGAAGCACUGGUUUUGUUGAAGUUGAGUUUUAAUUAAAACUGGGAACAUGAAAAGCUAAUUUAUAAAAGCAAUACUUUUAAUGCAAAAAAAUGUAAUGCAAACUUUGUUUCUACUUUUGCCUCAAAAGGAAAUUUGAUGGGAUAGUGUGGCAAAUCGUAAAAGUCAAAAACCAGAUUAUUGAGCCUUGAAGUUGUAGAAAAUAAGAGGGGUAACUCUGCCUGCCCAAGGCAGCGCUGCUGUUCCCGUCACUGCGAGUUGGGUGUACGCUUGUGCUUGGCUCCUUUCUCAGCAUGAGGCCUUGAAAUCCCCGCUGCACACAUCACUGAUGAGUCGUAAGUUAUUGAUGAACAGUGCAUUGUACACAUUGACCCUCUUUCUGGUAGUAGUUGGGCUGUUGACAAUAUGGGACUAUUGUGAAUAAACCUAUGACCAUGCAGCCGUGUUUUGUGGAUGUCAUUUGUUGUCUCUUGGGUGCAUUCUGUCAAGUACAAUUACCAGGUCAGAGAGUGGGUGCAUGGUUUGCUUUGUUGGAAACUAGCAAAGUGCUUGUGCCGCUCAGUUCCCCCACAGCCGAGGAGAGGCCCGUUUGCUCUGAAUCCUCAUGCGCAGGUGGUGCCGUCAUUCUUGGGUGUUCGCCAUUCUGGCGACUGUUGUAUCUGGCGGUUUCAUUUUAUACUUCCCUGCUGAUGAGUGAGGGUCAUUAUAUCUUUUCAUAUGGCUGUGGACUGUGCCUUCAGAAUAUUUUGCGCCUUUUUUGAUUGGCUUGGCUCGUUUUCAUUGACUGUAGGAAUCAUAUACUGCAUAGAAGUCCUGUGCCAGAUACAGGCAUCACGGUGUGUUCUCCCAGUGGGGCCUCCCUUCCAUUAUUCUUGGUGACCGCUUGCCUCACUUUCUGUAACACUUGAAGGCUGCCAGUAAACUUCCCCCUGUUUACUCAGUAUCCUAAUCUCUCCGCCCUUUGCUGAGAAAAGGUAUUUUCCCCUUAGAUUCCAAGCAGCCCUGAGGCCAGGGAGGUGGGCCUGCCUUGAAAGCCCCUAAGGUUGGUGAUAAGUUUUAGAAACCUCUUCCAGAAUUAACCCAUUGUUGACAUUCUCUCCACAUCAACUAAGGGUGCACCUGCUCUUCUUGAGUUAGUUCCUGAUACUGCUGUUGUUCGAGCAAGAAGGUCCAGUAGCACAGGUGGGCUUUGAGGAGUGGAUGAGGGGGCUGAGCCAUGUCCUGCGGGCACACUUUCCAGCUCGUCAUGCUGAGUUCCCCAGAACACACUCUGCGCAUGGAGGUGCCAGCAACUCGGUGACUGAUUUACCUGGGUCAUCAGAUCUCACACUUGAUGAUUGUGGGCCCCUUGUACUCCUCAGAGGACAUGGAGAACUUGUGUUUAUGUGAACUGGCUGUUGAUAUCUGACAUUCAGAAGUUAAAGCAUCAAUGCAUUUCAUGUUUAUUUUUUGUUGUAAAAUGUUUCCUGAGAUAAAAAUGAGAAAAGUACAUUCUUUGACAUUCUUGCUAAUCAUUUCAGUGCAGCUGGAGUUUCCUUUCUGCUUUUACACUCCACAGUGGGGGUCUGUUUUGGCUUUAUGUUACUGGAAAACAGCUGGUCCCACACUAAUAUGUCAUAGGAAAAGAGAAGAAUUUUAAUAGAUUUUCAGAUAAUUGUGAGUUAUUUGUUGAUUGCACAUGAAAACAUGGCAAGUAAUCAUUUCUAAAAGGUUAGGUAAACUUUGAAUGAACUUUCCCUGUUUCUGUUACAUUAACAACUAGUGGCCAGUCUUGUACUCUGUGUGAAUCUUUCAUGAUUACCUGGUUUUGUAACAUCAUGGGUGAUCAUUUGGAAAAUAUCAGUUCGCUAAAGUAUCCAGAUCUCCAAAUGUGGACACAUCUCAUACAAUACCCCAAAAAUUGCACGUGUUCAUUUGUCACCAAUCUCGCCGAAACGGCCUUUAAGUGUCAGGAAGCUGUUGGGCUCUAUGUGACACACGUUUUCCGCAACUCCAGUCUGUGAUGGGAAGCGCAGGCUUUAUCCAUGGCCACACACAUCGCCAGUUGCUUCCAUUAAAGGCAUGGUGAUUUCUUCAUUAGUCAAGAGAAUGUUUGCCAGUGAGCUGAGUUUGAAUAACCCCAGUGUCUCGGUCGUUUUUUCAAGUGCCAGAGGCAUCCGUAGAGAAAAGCACUGCGCUUGGCUACACCUCCACCAAGGGCUCUCUCCAGUCUCUGUAUUCAGGUGUGCACCCAGUGACUGCAUGCCUCCUGCCACGUGUGUACAGUGUUAGGAAGACGUGAACCACAGGCUGAGAUUUCAGCAGGUCAGUGAUUUUACCGCAUUGACCAAGCACAUUUUUUAAGUGUGAGAGCUUGGCAGGUGGGGAUGCUGUGACAGCUGAUACGGUUGGUGCCCCUGCCUCUUCUGCACAGAGGCACCUGCGUUUGUGCAGAGGAUUGCUUUAAGGCAGGCGGCAACCAAAUUAAAAGCAAAUCCUGUCCUCUCCUUAGGGAAACAAUUUUGACCUCAGAAACACCUUCGGGGUUCUAGACCCAGAGAAGGGCCAGGGACACUUGAUUGAGAACUGCUGGCCUCCCUCAGCACUCCCAAUACAAUAAAGGUGAGCCAAACCUGGAUUAUGAACUCACACAGGGUGAGUGGGGCAUAAGCCGCCACUUGAGAGACCCACAUCAGAGUGCCGGUUCCAGUCCCGGCUCCCCGACUUCUCAUCCAGGUCCCUGAAUGAGCUCACAGAGGCUAUCCUAUCCAAACCAUAGCUGAAAUCUGUGAAGUUUUGAAAGAAGGGCCUUUUGCAUGAGUUUUCUGUUGCUGCUGUGGUUGUCAGAAGUCAUCUGCUCUUAAAGGUCACCUCCAGCCUUGCCACAAGGCCCCCUCCUUCUCGGGGUUAUUAAUGACACACACAUCUGUCCCGUGCACUGAAUCGCUGACUUCCGCCGUCAGGGAUCCCCAGACAACAUUUGAGGGGCUCCAGUGAUUAGAUCAGUAUCCUAAGGUCAACUCGUGCGAAUGAAGGGAGUGACAUGUCAAUCAUUUUCACAGGCCUGCCACAGUCAAGAGAAUAUUACCCAAGGGCCAGGAGCUUUGGGGUCAGUUUAGAAUUUUGCUGACCUCAUUUGUAAACUAAGAACCUGUUCCCAUAGGCAUUAGACUAACCACCACCACCUCAGGUUGCUUUGGUCACAUGUAAAUCUAUGCAUCCUUUCUAGAAAAGUCAAAUUAAGGUUAUGCUCAAAAAAAAAAAAAGUUGAACUUAUGAAGAAUGACAAAGAAGCAGACAUGGGUGUGUGUCAUAAACACGGAGCAACUAGGAACUGGGAGAAGAACCGCGCGUGUCUUUUCUGAUUGACAAUAAAGAAACGCAGAUGGAAGAAAGUCUGGUGACGUGAAGUUCUGCAAGAAAGAAAGCUGUGUUGUGAAGAUGGAGGAAGCCGGUGCAAUCGCAAGGUGGGGUGGGAGGGCACUUCAAAAAGCAUCAUAAAAUGGAACCAAAAGGCAAGUUUAUUUUGGCGCAAAAAUGUUGAAAACUCCAUGAUUUUUUCCACAAGUCACAUUUUUGUGAACUUUCUGAAGACCCCUUGUGUAAAAAAAAUGACUUUUGUUGUAAAAGAUUUUAUUUUAGAGGCAGAAUUAGAGAGAGACAGUGUGUGCACUUCCAUCUGCUGGUUCACUCCUGGGCCAGGCUGAAGCCAGGAGCCUGGAACUCCAUCUAGGUGGAGCACCUGGGACUUGAACCUGCACUCCAAUAUGGGAUCGUGCAUCACAGGCAGCGAUUUAACCCAUGGUGCCACAACUCCAACCCAAGAAUGCUUUUUUAAAUAGUUGAGUCUCCAGGCCAGCACUGUGGCACACCAGCUUGGGCUGCCACCUGAGACACUGUGGUCCUGACUGUUCCUCUUCUGAUCCAACUCCCUGCUAACAUGCCUGGGAAAACAGCAGGAGGUGGCUCAAGCACUUGGGCCCCUGCUGCCCACCUGGGAGACCAGGAUGUAGUUCCAGGCUCUUGGCUUCAGCCUGACCCAGCUGUGGCUGUUGUGGGCAUUAGUGGAGUGUUGGAUCCAAGCUCAUCCACGUGGGGUGUCAAGGUACGUGAAGCCGGAAAUUGGAAGAACAUUCCUGGAACCGUAGGUGAAAGAGACAGGCUUGAUUCAGCCGGCCACAAAAGCACCAGUAACCACAGCAGCUGCCAACACCAAGAGUUGGCCUCCUUAUACCCAGGGUUAACACAAUAGUGGCCGACAGCCAAGGAGUCACGUGGCAGAGACAGGUCAAGCCUAACUGGGCCCGCUGACCAGCAGAUAGGGCCUGCCCGGUUGUCACAGAAACACAGAUAGCAGCAUAGAACUUCACUCAUUCCAUCCACUCACCUGCACUUUCUUCUGUUCCAACAUGCCACUCCUUGAACAGGUUGAUUUCUUUGGGACAUCGGGCACCUCCUUGUGUUCCAGACCCCCUCCCACUUGCCAUUAAGGAGCAAGUUGGAGGGAAUGCUACAGACUCCCUCCUGCUUGUUAUCCAAGCGGGGCCAGCUUAGUCUAAGAAAACCAGUGCUGACUUAAGAAACCGACUUGGUAGGCCGGCGCCGCGGCUCACUAGGCUAAUCCUCCACCUAGCGGCGCCGGCACACCGGGUUCUAGUCCCGGUCGGGGCGCCAGAUUCUGUCCCGGUUGCCCCUCUUCCAGGCCAGCUCUCUGCUGUGGCCAGGGAGUGCAGUGGAGGAUGGCCCAAGUGCUUGGGUCCUGCACCCCAUGGGAGACCAGGAUAAGUACCUGGCUCCUGCCAUCGGAUCAGCGCGGUGCGCCGGCCGCAGCGCGCCAGCCGCGGUGGCCAUUGGAGGGUGAA